rnacentral:other from 2 species
CGUGUCCUGCCGUGUUCGAGGCGUUGACUAAUCGCUCUUUGCCUACCUUAAUUUCACGGGAGACAUGAUGAGUGGAGGAUGCUCAGCCGUAAACCGGACCGCAGAAUUCGCUUUGAUGUCGCCCACUUGAACAUACCAAGGACCAAGAGCCCUUUUGGCGUACGGCACAAAGGUGGGACGCGU